rnacentral:misc_RNA from 1 species
CUCUCUCUCUCUCUCUCUUAUUAUAAUCUAUUUACUCCUAUUUGUUAAACCAUCCAUACAUCGAACAUAUUAUGAUGUAAAGGCCAUCCGAACUUGCUAUUUCAACAUAGGAUCUAUUUCGAAUUUAGUUUACAUUUACCGAUUCGUACCGUUGUCUAAAUUUGAAACCAUUGCACCUUCUGGCUACAAUGACCAUAUAAAAAGAUUAUAAUAAGAGAGAGAGAGAGAGAG